CUUGCUGCAGGCACCGCCCCCACCGGUUGGCAAAGAUAUAAAAAAAAAGACAUAAACAUCGAUGAGCUCUCACUCCCUCCUCUGCAUCUCUCUCGGGAAAAGCCAAAGACUCUUAAAACACCUGCACCACCGCCACCACUCCCCAUGGCCAUACCUCACACCCCUCCCUUCCCCACAAAGUAACUAAGACCACACCCCAAAGUUAACCACUUUCCCCAUCUUCUCCAUUCCUUCCAACUCCCAUCUUGCUCAAACCCCCCAUCCAUGGACACCACCACAACCCUCCUCCUCCUCCUCCUCCUCCAUCCCCUACUCUUUUCUAAACCCCUCGUCGCUGCCUUCGUGCCCAAAGACGACUUCUUGAUCAACUGCGGCGGAGCUACCACCGUCACUUCCGACGACGGCCGAGCUUUUCUUCCCGACGACUCAGGUCACCGCUCGUCCUUCACUCUCUCCCCCAUUUCCCGCAAUGUCGUCGUCACCAACUCCUCCGAUCUCCACGGAAGCGCUCGACUUUUUACCCAAAAGUCCGAGUAUAGAUUCCGCAUUGGCCGAACCGGCAGACAUUUCUUGAGGUUGCAUUUUCGUCCGCUCCGUUCUCCUCUGUGCGACCCGAAAUCCGCAGUUUUUUCUGUCGCCGCCAAUGGAUUCACCCUCUUUCACACCUCUUCUCAUCCGAAAUCGAGCGCCAGCUCUUCCGUUCUCUUGAAGGAAUUUAUCAUCGCAGCAGGAUCGACUUCGAAUCCAUUAACACUGGUGUUCGCUCCAUCCCAUGGCUCGGUUGCUUUCAUCAAUGCGAUCGAGGUCAUAUCGAUGCCGGACGGAAUGAUUCCCUCCGUCGCAUCCCCUGUUCCUCCGGGAGCAGGCGUCAACAUCUCUUCCGAUGUCGCCUUCGAGACCGUUUAUAGAAUUAAUGUCGGCGGUCCGAGUCUGGGUCCAAGAAAUGACAGCUUGUGGAGGGCUUGGGAGACCGAUCGGCAGUUCUUGAUCAACUCGGCUUCGGCGCACACCGUCUCCACCAACCCAGCUUCCAUCAGAUACCCCGCCGGAGUUCCUGCCCAUAUGGCGCCAAAUUUGGUCUAUGCAACUGCGCAAGAAAUGGCGGAUGCUAAUGUCGGUAACCAGAAGUUUAAUAUCUCCUGGUUGUUUAAAGUUGAUUCGCAUUUUAAUUAUCUGGUUCGGCUACAUUUCUGUGAUUUUUUGAAUGUAGCAGUGCACAGUAUGCUAUUCGAUGUCUAUAUCAAUAACCAGUCUGCUUUGAGCUUGUUUGAUAUCACAACCAAGACAGAGUUAUCGACUGCUUACUUUGUCGAUUUCGUUGUGAAUCUUCCGAUGGAGUCGCAUAAAAUUAUGGUUCAAGUAGGCCCUUCCCAGGUUUCUAAUUCCCCUCCUAAUGCAAUUCUUAAUGGAGUCGAGAUUUUGAAGUUUAUUGAUUCGGAGAAUGCUUUCGAUGCAUCUCAUGGUGCACGAUUGAUCGGUGUGGAGGAGAGAAAGAAGAAAAAGAAGGUGAUACUUGUCAUUCCAUCUUGUUUGGGAGGUGUAGCACUGCUGGGUUUGGUUAUUUCAGUGUUCUUAUUGUACUUUGGUCGUCGAAAGAAGGCGAAGAAGGCUGCUGUGGCCCGGUUGCCUUCCCCUGUGGCUCUUCAUGCUCACACGGGCAACUCGGAAACAAAGGUGUCUGCUGGUAGUUAUGCUUCAUCAAAGCCUUCUCAGGGUUUAGGCCAGUUACUAGCCUUCUCGGAAAUACAGCAAGUGACUAAAAACUUUGAUGAGAGCUUGGUUAUAGGCGUGGGUGGCUUCGGAAAGGUGUACAAAGGGGUGUUGGAUAAUGGCAUUGUGGUGGCGGUGAAACGGGGGAACCCCCGAUCCCAGCAAGGAUUGGCAGAGUUUAGGACGGAGAUAGAGAUGUUAUCCAAGCUGCGCCACCGCCACUUGGUUUCUCUAAUAGGUUAUUGUCAUGAAGCCAAUGAGAUGGUGCUUGUCUAUGAAUACAUGGCUGGGGGUCCCCUCCGUAAGCAUCUGUAUGGCUCUGAUCUUCCAGCUCUCUCAUGGAAGCAGAGGCUUGAGAUCUGCAUAGGAGCUGCUAAAGGUUUGCAUUACCUCCAUACUGGGGCUGCUGAAACUAUUAUCCACAGAGACGUCAAGACAACUAACAUUCUCCUCGAUGAGAAUCUAACUGCUAAGGUUGCUGAUUUUGGUUUGUCCAAGUCCGGGCCAACUCUUGAGCAGACCCAUGUGAGUACAGCAGUGAAAGGAAGCUUUGGCUAUCUUGAUCCAGAGUACUUCAGAAGGCAGCGUCUUACAGAAAAAUCAGAUGUGUACUCUUUUGGAGUUGUUCUGAUGGAGGUUUUGUGUGCUAGGCCUGCAAUCAACCCAGCACUCCCAAGAGAUCAGGUAAACAUAGUGGAGUGGGCAACAAACUGGCAAAAGCGGGGUCAGUUAGAGCAGAUAAUUGAUCCGCAUCUUGUGGGCACCAUUAGUCUUGAUUCGCUACGAAAGUUUGGUGAAACAGCAGAAAAGUGUUUAGCAGAGCAUGGGGCUGAGAGACCAUCAAUGGGAGAUGUUUUAUGGAACUUGGAAUAUGCCCUGCAACUGCAGGAGUCUUUCACAAGAGUAAUUGGGGAGGGGAGCAGCACAAAUGGCAUUGAGGACCUCCCAGAAUGGAUUCCACAAAUAGAGACUAGAGAGCACGAUAACUUCAGUGUUGUCAGUGAUGGAACUGAUGGGGUGACAAGUAGAGUAUUCUCACAGUUGAUCGAUCCAAGGGGAAGAUAGGUAGCCCAUAGGGCCUUGCAUCAUGACUUGAUAGAGAAUCAUAUUAAUGGUUGUUGAGGAGACUGGAAACCUAUCGGCAAGCAUGACAUGCAGUUUGACAUUCCACCUUCUUCUGGUGAUUGUAACUUCUUCAAGGAUCAGAACUGUUAACAAGUGUUUCAGAUGAUGCAUGGACAUGGUCAUAGCUGCCUGCUGGAAUGAACGUCAAUUAUAUGCAUGUUUAAAUGUGUCGUUGAAUCAGCAUCAUAUCUUCUGGAGGGAAUCUAGUGAGGCACAGAACUCUCUACCGCACCAUGUCCCUAAAGGGCAGCACUUAGAAGUAGGAACAUAACUGCAGUUACCGCAUGAAUGGCACAAUGGAUUCCCCAGAAUGGACAGCAUAUCGAUGGAUCAUAAGGAUUUCAGGAUUGUUAACGAUGUCGGAUUUUAAUGUAGCCUCAAGUGCUGGAGAUUUCUUAUAUCCAAGGGAAAAAUAGAUACAGCAGUGCGGAGCUAGAUCCUACACAUUAUACUACUGUUCGGUGACAAACUACAAAGCACUGAUCUGACUGUAUUUUUUUCCUUCUGCAUGUGUUUUUACUGCAGUUCAUGUAAAGCCUUUAUUUGUGGACAGAAUCAUACAAACUACUAUCAAACAAAGC